CCUACGGGUGGCAGCAGUGAGGAAUAUUGGUCAAUGGACGAGAGUCUGAACCAGCCAAGUAGCGUGAAGGAUGACUGCCCUAUGGGUUGUAAACUUCUUUUAUAUGGGAAUAAAAUGUUCCACGUGUGGGAUUUUGUAUGUACUAUAUGAAUAAGGAUCGGCUAACUCCGUGCCAGCAGCCGCGGUAAUACGGAGGAUCCGAGCGUUAUCCGGAUUGAUUGGGUUUAAAGGGAGCGUAGGUGGAUUGUUAAGUCAUUUGUGAAAGUUUGCGGCACAAAAGUAAAAUUGCAGUUGAAAAUGGCAGUCUUGAGUAAAGUAGAGGUAGGAGGAAGUCGUGGUGUAGCGGUGAAAGGCUUAGAUAUCACGAAGAACUCUGAUUGCGAAGGCAGCUUAC
rnacentral:rRNA from 1 species